rnacentral:lncRNA from 1 species
UGUAUAGACUUCAGGAAGGAUUUGUAUUGUUUCAGGAAACCCUUCCUGCAGAUUCAACCUUAUGUGUGUUUUCUCCAUAUAUCUCGAUCUCCGACGAAAACCCAUCUCCAGAACUCUCUCUCUCUCGAUCUUUUACGCGAGCUCUCUCUAUUCUCCGAGAAAAACCAUUUCUAGAGCUCUAUCUCUUUAAGGUAUGUUGCAGAUUCAACCUUAUGUGUGUUUUCUUUCUGAGAGAUUGGUCUCCUGGUUUUUGCUUGUGUAUAGACUUGCUCGUUUUAACCUAAUAUGAUUGGUAGAAUUCUAGUUCAUGUGAAAGCAUGUGUAUAGACUUCAGGAAGGAUUUGUAUUGUUUCAGGAAACCCUUCUUGCAGAUUCAACCUUAUGUGUGUUUUCUUUCUGAGAGGUUGGUCUCCUGGUUUUUGCUUGUGUAUAGACUUGCUCGUUUUAACCUAAUAUGAUUGGUAGAAUUCUAGUUCAUGUGAAAGCAUGUGUAUAGACUUCAGGAAGGAUUUGUAUUGUUUCAGGAAACCCUUCCUGUAGAUUCAACCUUAUGUGUGUUUUCUUUCUGAGAGAUUGGUCUCCUGGUUUUUGCUUGUGUAUUGACUUGCUCGUUUUAACCUAAUAUGAUUGGUAGAAUUCUAGUUCAUGUGAAAGCAUGUGUACAGACUUCAGGAAGGAUUUGUAUUGUUUCAGGAAACCCUUCCUGAAACAAGAUGGGAGAUCCAUUACCAUUAAGACUAGCACUGCCUGAGCUGAGAUAUCCGAUUGGAUCAGAGCCAGAGAAGACAAUAUCGAUAAACCAACACUCGAUAGUUGCUUAUAUCAAAACUGUUA